rnacentral:ribozyme from 1 species
UACACAGCAACUCCUAUCCAUACCUCCUCGUGGUACCGGCCGGAAAUUAUGAGCAACCUUAGGGAAGAUCGAGUAACCAACCUCGGUGGG